rnacentral:tRNA from 1 species
GCUGGCUUAGCUCAAUAGGUAGAGCAACUGACUUGUAAUCAGUAGGUUGGGAGUUCAAUUCUUCUAGUCAGCACCA